AUGGAGGCGCCCAGUGGGCAUCCUUGCCAGAUGCCCGAACCACCUCAGCUGACUCCUUUCUAAGUAAAGGAGCAGCGGCUCUAAUCCGAGUUCCUCACGGAUGACUGAGCUUCUCACCCUAUCCCGAGACGCCAGCCACCCUUCUGAGAAAACUCAUCUCGGCCGCUUGUACCCGCGAUCUCGUCCUUUCGGCCAUCACCCAACCCUCAUGACCAUAGAUCAGCCGACUAAAAAGAGACAGAGAAACCCAAUGUCGGAGGAACAGAAGAAGAGAAAAGGGAGACUGACCGACAGAGAGGCCAGACACGAGUAAACGUUGGGCAAGCUUUUCAGGAAUAGCGUGAACUGAAAGAAAAAGAAGACUGCAAAUCAGACGCCGACUCGGCCGUGUUGCUUUUGAAAUUGAAAGUACCCUUGGGUGAACUUUGUCUUCGUGGUAUUCUUGAUGUUGAUAGUCUCUGUACAAAUGUGUUUGCUCAACCAUUUUGUUGUGAGCCCUGUAAAAAUUGUUUUCUCGAC